UAUGAAGGGGGCUAGCGUUGCUCGGAAUCACUGGGCGUAAAGGGUGCGUAGGCGGGUUUUAAGUCAGGGGUGAAAUCCUGGAGCUCAACUCCAGAACUGCCUUUGAUACUGAAGAUCUUGAGUCCGGGAGAGGUGAGUGGAACUGCGAGUGUAGAGGUGAAAUUCGUAGAUAUUCGCAAGAACACCAGUGGCGAAGGCGGCUCACUGGCCCGGUACUGACGCUGAGGCACGAAAGCGUGGGGAGCAAACAGG
rnacentral:rRNA from 1 species